CGCCCUAUUAGGUCACUAAGGCGGUGAUUAAGCAGAAGUCAGCAGAGGGCAUAGUAGCCAAACGGCC
rfam:Osedax symbiont Rs1 5221_225, whole genome shotgun sequence.